rnacentral:tRNA from 1 species
CGGGUAGUGGCGCAGUUUGGUAGCGCACACGACUGGGGGUCGUGGGGUCGCUGGUUCAAGUCCAGUCUACCCGACCA